rnacentral:lncRNA from 1 species
AAAAGAGAGAAGAAACAAAGACAGAGCUGUCUCCUGAAAAUGCCAGUUCCUGCUGUUUACGCAGUAGAAGCAGAACUAAACAGCACCAGAUCCUGCAAAGGCACGACUCAGAAGAACAAGGGACACAACGGAGGGCUCUUAAUGUAAAGAAACAUUUUGACUUUGCCGGUCCGUCAUCUCCCUAGCUCUCAGCCCGCCCUCACCCUGGACCCCGCCCUGCUGGAAUGGGUGGUGGACUAGCCUUGGCUGGCAGGGAUGCUUUUGAGUUCCAGGAUUCUUCUAAACUGUGCUUGCUGUAAAUGAUUUUUAUGCUAACAUUGCAUUGAAGUCCUUUUUUGGCAAAUGCAUCGCCAUAUAAGAUUAAAAAUAAUUUGGAGGGCAGAAUUUCUACCAGGAAUUGAUCAAACAAUGUACUGUCGUGAACUGGUUCCAAAUUCCUAAUGCAUCUGCUUUAUACAGUCCCUGCUUUAUAGAGCUACAAUCCCCUGUUUGUCCGAGUUCAGUCUGCUUGUAUGCUGGAAGAAUCACACCCCUUUAUUUCUGGCCUGGAGGGCUUCUUUCCAAGUUUUGGGAAAAAAAAUCUCUCAAAUAAGAAGUCACAGAAGCUUUAAAUAAUACGGUUGUUGCAAGCAUCCUUGUUGAACAUUUAGCGAACUAUCCCGUUGCCUUUCCUGAUCAAGGCAGAUGUAAAACAGCC